rnacentral:lncRNA from 1 species
GGAGAAGCAGGAUCCAAUAUUGCCAGGGCAGAGCUAUUGACAAUCAGCUGCUUGACUUUGUCAAAGCUCUCCUGCGCAGCAUCCGUCCAUGUGAAAUAGCCGCCUGUCCUGUUUCAGGCGCGCAUAUGCUCGACCUAGAGAGAGUAGUUGCAGACGAAUUUGGAGUACCACCCAGUUAAGCCAAGGUAUGAGUGCAGGGUGGUAGCAUCGGAAGGAGCAGGGGCCUUGUGAAUGGCAGUGACUAAGUAGUAGUCCUUGUGCAGUAAUGGUAUGACAAAGAAAAUUACAUUUUCUUUGUUUAGCAGCAGACCGGCACUCUCCAAGGUGCUGAGAACGGCUUGCAAGUUGCGAUCAUGUUCCUUUUUCGUUUUUCCGUAUAUUACGACGUCAUACAGGUAGGCUUGUGCACAUUGUAUUUUCUGCAGUAGGGAGCACAUCAUCUUUUGAAAAGCAGCAGGAGGCCAAACCGUAGGGGACCCGGUGGAAUCUGAAAAGGUUGUUGUGUGCAGUGGUGGAAAAAGUAACCAAUUGUCAUACUUCAGUAAAAGCCUUAAUAGAAAUUGACUCAAGUGAAAGUCCUCCAGUAAAAUACUACUUGAAUGAACGUGGUACCUUCAGGCGUUUGGAAAUUGCUCCCAAGGAUGAACCAGACUUUUCUUUCUGAUGUCUUGGCUGAUUUCUUUUGAUUUUCCCAUGAUGUCACGCAAAGAGGCACGGAGUUUGAAGGAGCCAGAACGCGUCUCCUUCCUGAGCGGUAUGGCGGCUGCGUGGUCCAAUGGUGUUUAUACUUGCAAACUAUUGUUUGUACAGAUGAACGUGGUACCUUCAGGUGUUUGGAAAUUGCUCCCAAGGAUGAACCAGACUUGUGGAGGUCGACCAUUUCU